rnacentral:rRNA from 1 species
UACGGAAGGCAGCAGUGGGGAAUAUUGCACAAUGGGCGAAAGCCUGAUGCAGCUAUGCCGCGUGUAUGAAGAAGGCCUUAGGGUUGUAAAGUACUUUCAUCGGGAGGAAAAAACAAAACUAAUAAUUUUAUUUCUUGACGUUACCCGAAAAAGAAGCACCGGCUAACUCCGUGCCAGCAGCCGCGGUAAUACGGAGGGUGCUAGCGUUAAUCAGAAUUACUGGGCGUAAAGAGCACGUAGGUGGUUUUUUUAAGUCAGAUGUGAAAUCCCUGGACUUAACCUAGGAACUGCAUUUUGAAACUGAAAUACUAGAGUAUCGUAGAGGGAGGUAGAAUUCUAGGUGUAGCGGUGAAAUGCGUAGAUAUCUGGAGGAAUACCUGUGGCGAAAGCGGCCUCCUAAACGAAUACUGACACUGAGGUGCGAAAGCGUGGGGAGCAAACAGGGAUUAGAUACC